UACGAAGGGGGCUAGCGUUGCUCGGAAUUACUGGGCGUAAAGCGCACGUAGGCGGCUUGUUAAGUCGGGGGUGAAAUCCUGGAGCUCAACUCCAGAACUGCCUUCGAUACUGGCGAUCUCGAGUUCGGGAGAGGUGAGUGGAACUGCGAGUGUAGAAGUGAAAUUCGUAGAUAUUCGCAAGAACACCAGUGGCGAAGGCGGCUCACUGGCCCGAUACUGACGCUGAGGUGCGAAAGCGUGGGGAGCAAACAGG
rnacentral:rRNA from 1 species